GAUGAACGCUGGCGGCGUGCCUAAUACAUGCAAGUCGAGCGAACAGACGAGGAGCUUGCUCCUCUGACGUUAGCGGCGGACGGGUGAGUAACACGUGUAUAACCUACCUAUAAGACUGGGAUAAUUUCGGCAAACAGGAGCUAAUACCGGAUAAUAUAUUGAACCGCAUGGUUCACUAGUGAAAGACGGUUGUUGUGUCACUAAUAGCUGGAUCCGCGCCGCAUUAGCUAGUUGGUAAGGUAACGGCUUACCAAGGCAACUACGCGUAGACGACCUGAGAGGGUGGUCGGCCACACGGGAAGUGAGACACGGUCCAGACUCCUACGGUAGGCAGCAGUAGGGAAUCUUCCGCAAGGGGGGAGAGCCGGACGUAGCAACGCCGCGUGAGGGAUGAAGGUGCUCUGAUCGGAAAGCUCUGUUAGUAGGGAAGAACAAAUGUGUAAGUAACUAUGCACGUAUUGACGGUACCGGGUCAAAAAGCCCCGGCUAACUACGUG
rnacentral:rRNA from 1 species